GCAGUGGGGAAUUUUGGACAAUGGGCGCAAGCCUGAUCCAGCAAUGCCGCGUGAGUGAAGAAGGCCUUCGGGUUGUAAAGCUCUUUUGUCAGGGAAGAAACGGUUGAGGAUAAUACCUUCGGCUAAUGACGGUACCUGAAGAAUAAGCACCGGCUAACUACGUGCCAGCAGCCGCGGUAAUACGUAGGGUGCAAGCGUUAAUCGGAAUUACUGGGCGUAAAGCGUGCGCAGGCGGUUUUGUAAGUCUGUCGUGAAAGCCCCGGGCUCAACCUGGGAAUUGCGAUGGAGACUGCAAGGCUUGAAUCUGGCAGAGGGGGGUAGAAUUCCACGUGUAGCAGUGAAAUGCGUAGAGAUGUGGAGGAACACCGAUGGCGAAGGCAGCCCCCUGGGUCAAGAUUGACGCUCAUGCACGAAAGCGUGGGGAGCAAACAGGAUUAGA
rnacentral:rRNA from 1 species